rnacentral:lncRNA from 1 species
GUUCUGGGAUUGAGCAAGCACAAAUUUCUGCAUUUAUGGGGGUUAGGUGUGGAGCUCCUUCUCCAGAUGAUACAAGACACAGGUACAGUUCUCUCCCCACCCCCCCCUCUCUCUCUCUCUGUGUGUGUGUGUGUGUGUGUGUGUGUGUGUGUGUGUGUGUGUGUGUGUGUGAUGUAAAGGCAUUUGAAAAGUCUGAUGACCUGAACUAGAUCCCUGGGACCCACAAAAUGAAAGGAAAGAACACAAGUCCUUCAGAUUGCCCUCUCAUCUCCACAUGCUCUGGAAUGCUCAUGCACACACACACACACACACACACACACACACCACUGUCAUCACCACCACCAUCAUCACCAUCACCACCACCACUAUAUAAAUGUAAAAGCCCAAUAAAUUAAACAAUAAACAACUUAGCAAUUUCAUUGGGAGAAUCCCAUUUGUUAAAGUAUUUCAUUGAUUCUAAGGGGCUUUUUUGUGCCGCCGCCCCCCCCCCCCCCAGGUUAAACAACUUUGGAAUCAGGAAGCAUUUCUCAGGUAACAGCAUGUAGUAACUUUUUAGUCCUUUUUUUUCCCUGUGGGAAUUCACAAGGUAACUUGCCUUUUGUAAUUGAUGGGAUUUGAACUUUAAAAAAAUAUAUAGUAAUUUUGUCAUUCAGAGUUCCUUUUCACAAACAAUAGAAUCUACACUGGAUAGUUAGAGCAGAGAAGGGACUUGUUAAAAGAGAUUAUUUAGCUAAGAAUUACGGGGGGGGGGACAUGGAAAUGGUCUUGAAUUUAAGCUUCUAGGAACAAGACCCAAGCCAUACUGAAUGCACAGCCCAGAGAGGAGACCUCAGCCACUGCUGCUCUGGGCUCAAUUCCCUGCCAAUCUUAACAGCUCCAUGGCACUCCUGUGGUAGGAACUCAUUAUUGCAACCGCUGAGAAAUCAUGGCCGUUGCCACUACCAGCCUCAAAGCUGGACACUUGUGUUUCUACCAACCACGGCAGAAAGUGAAGCCCUGUGUCAGCCUGCUUCCUGCCUCCCUCGAUCAAGGCUAGGGAGGAGGCAGAACAGUUACAAACAUUGACUUCAAACAACACAACACAUUUCUUCCUCCUACUAUAGCUCCAGCAAGGGCCAGGCUUGGAUGGAGAAGUCCCGUUCACUGUGGUCACUAAUGGACCAGGCUGCAGGGAGUUAGUUCUACCAUUGACAGACAGGGUCUUACUCUGUAGCCCAGGUAGGCCUGAAACUUGCAGAAGUCCUCCAGCCUCAGCCUCCCAGGAGCUAGGAUUACGGGUAAGAGAUUCCACCUCCAUACGUAUCACCUUCCUAACAGGGUGGGUUGGCUGCUCCUAGGCAAACAAGGCAAAGCAUCCUCCGAGCCUUCAAUCCCAGCCAGCACUUCAGGAGGCAAAGGCAGGAGCAUUUGGAUUCCAAAGCCAGCUUCAGUCUCUUAUGGGUGAAGAAGCCUGCUUGCAGACCAGCUUCCAGAGACGCUGGAAACACAUGCCAUUUCUGAUCUCUCCCCGCCCCCACGUGGAGAUAGAAAAGCCGUCUGAAGGAAGACAGUCAUUAACACAACGUAUAUUCCUGAACUCUACAGAAACACAAGAAAUCCGUGGCACCGCAUGCCCUGAACUACCAAAGAAGACCCAAGAAGACUCAGGCUUUUGAGUGGUUUACUCAGUCCCUCUCCAUGUCUUUGGGCUUACAGGAAGAGCAGACAAUGGUCCUUUUUAUACUGUCCCGGAAUAAUGUACUCGCUUUAUCCCACUCUAACCAACCACUUUACAAAGAGGUGCCAUGCCGUUUGGCCAUCAGUCUAGGGACAUCAAGUAAGGGUUCCCAGUGCUCCGGUGGCUCGGCGUAUCCCAGGCCUGAUUGCUGGUAACGCAGUGUCUUAAUUAGAGACAAGCAAAUAGCAGCAUCUGCUGCUCAGCAAGGAAAAGUAAUUGUCUAACUCCUCGAAAUCUGAGGUCAAGACUACAACAAACGGCCUUCUCCAAAUUCAAAAUAUCCACGUCCCCCUUAGCCACUUGCAGACCACCCAUGCUGGACCCUUUUUAUCGUCGUAUCUUCAAAUGCUUCAGCUAAUAUCUGGCCCAAGGUCUGAGAUGAGACAACAGACUGUACUUAAGUGGCUGCAUUGCUAGCACCUAAAAAAGACUCCCAGAUCCUCACACUGGAGCACUGUGUUUUUAUGAGCCAGGAGAAAGGAAAUACUCAGAAGCCGUUCGAUGCUAUCAUCCACCUAUCUCGGGUUGUGCAGAUCCAGGCACGCAGGAUCAAGGUCAGAAGUUGAAGCCGGGGCAGAAGACAGCAGCCAUUUCCAUUUUUCUCAAGUCACAAUAGAAAGUAGGGCAGAGAGAGGAGGUGCCUGGCCUCGGUUGAAUGACCCAAGUUGCUGCCCUGAGAGCACCUAGGGCCUGGGAUUGUACGCAGACAGAGGAGCUUUGUGUGGAGAACAAAGAGUCCCAAGGCCAGAGCCAGUCCUCCCCUUGUAGGGGCAGGGUAGGAUAGAGCCACUUCAUUCUGGGACAGGCAGGUUUGCUAUGUGCUCUGGCCUCCCUCCACCAAACCCUAUUACUGCCCUGCGUUUUCAGCCCUGCUCAGCUCACUGGCCCUCUGUGAUGCUGUCACCUACUUUCCCAUGCCCAGUGCUCCCCAGGUCCAGCCCCCAACCCCACCUCAGCCUUCUCCUCUCACCAUCUCACCCCCCAGGCUGGCUCAGCAAAGUCACUGUCAUCUCUGUGUCAUUUCCAGUGAUCAUUUUCAAUUCUUAUCUUGUUGACUAUUUGGCAGCAUCGAAGCUGAAUAUACCUUUUGGAAACUGUCCGUUCCUGUCUUCCAGGCAGACGCCUUCUCUGAGAACAUUUAUUCUUCCUACUAAAACAGCGUGUUUAUGAGGCACCUGUAUUCUGUUGGCAGUUUCCAUCCCUUGGAGAUACUCUCCUCAGUGCGAGACAGGUGGAAGGAACAGAUAAGGAAACCAAGGCUCCAGGCAACUAAGGAGUUUUCCCAAGACCCCAUAGCAACAAGUGAUAGGCUCUUUAUAAAGAACCCAAAUCUACUGCUUUGCCCUGACUCUAGCUCCGCUGGGUUGCCCUCAUCUUAACUCCUCUCCUUCGUGGACACUGCUCUCUGUCCCUGCCCUCAUUUUCCCAUCCCCUCCCCCACACCCCUUCUCCUGUCUGUAGCAAGCUUUUCUGCAUAGCUUCAGUGCCCAUUUUUUUUUGCAUUGUUUUGUUUUGCUUGUUUGUUUGUUUUGUUUUGACAGUGCUUUGCCACUAACCCAGCUCUCACUCCCUAAGUCCCAGAUGCUGCUUACUGUAGCUGCUGUUGUUACUAUUGUUACUAAGACCUGAGAUUUACAAUGUUUCCGUACGGUAGAUGUGGUGACAGACAUUGUUUGUUACGAUGUUUUUCUAAGGAGACUUAGUAUUAGAGAGGCUAAUCCACUUGUCUCCAGGUCAGCGGAAGCUGAUAUUCUUCUGAUUUUAAAGCCAUUGUUUGUUUGAAACACAGUCUUGUUAGGUAGCUCUGGUUAGCCUUGAACUCACCAUCCUCCUGCCUCAGACUCCCUAGUUCUGGGAUUACAUGCAUAUAGCACCACACUUGACUUAGUCAUUGUCUUACCUGCUGACUAGACUCUUCAGGGGGUACCUUUAGCACCUCAUAUUUGAAAUGCCUAAAUUUCAACCUGUCUGUCCUACACCAGUUGGGUGACCAUAGCAAGUGACAGCUUGUCCAAACUGUAGCUAUUAUCA